CUAAAGGAAAAGGGAAAAUGUCCCUCCGCCCAACCCAUUUCCCGUCACGCCGCAGUUCUUUUCCUCCAGAAGGUGUUUGGGUCGCACGUCCACAGUCUACCUCCCCAGUGCCUGUGUUCCUCUGAGUCAACUCUCCUUUCUUCCGGAAUCAAAAAAAGCUGGUGCGGCCAGAUCUGUUCGCCUUCCGCUGCGACGUCAGGUUGAGGAAGACACAGGAUAUCGCCGCACGCCACUCGUGUUUGCUGGACGAUCUGCGCUGGCCGAGCCGCCACUGAGACCGAAUCGUCGGAUGUCACGCGUUUCUUCGUAGUUAGGUUUUCCACUUACGGUUACCCCGUGGACGACUCCCCGAGGCAUGCGAUUCACGACGAUCGACUCGGGGCGAUACACGUGGAGCGCCGUUAUCUGCGCGAGGACACUCGAGAUCUGCUGGGCGGGCCAAAAAGGGGGCCGAUCCUGUGUGUCUGUGGGUCGGAGAGUCGAGUCCUCGCAGGAAAGCGAACAGUCAUAGCGGAGAUAAAACACAUUCUUUAUCGUUGAAGAGAGGCAACAGACGCGCGCCUAGCGGCAGUGGCGAAAACACUCAAAUGCAGGCGCAUGCCGACGACGCGUACGCAUUUCGCUCGUCCCUGGAGAUGUUCACUCCCGCAAGAAAGUCAGAGGCAUUUGUGGUCCGUGCGCAGAUUCCGGCAAGUAAUGAGCUGGCUUCACGAUAUGCGACAAGAGACUGCAUGCGCUCCGUUUGCUACGCUUGAUCUGGGAGACGGAGCAUGUGGCGGUGGAGAGAGACUGGGUAGCGCGCAGGACUCGAGCCACGCACGAAAAAGGCAGCAUGGGGCCGCCUGGAAGCUCGGGGCCUUGGGACGGAUAUUUCCAGGAAACACUUCUUCUCGGGAGGCAGAUUUAGUGAGAACGUUGCCGACACGGGGACGAACAGAUACGCAUGGUCACACACUGGACGUUGCUUGGACCGGAGAAAGCGACAAAACUGGGGGUCCGACUCCUCUUUUAUAUAAUUUAACUACGGCUGUGGCUGUAAACUAUAUCCUUACGGGAGCCCUAUCAAGCCUCUUCUGCCGAAUAGUUUUCAAGGAAAACCUAAAAUUCGCAUGUUUGAAGUGUAGCCGCUAACGUACAAGUAUUUCCAACAGACAUAUUUAUCUAUCGCAGGUUCCGUUGAUGCGCCGUGGCUGAUUUUCUGCGAGUUGGACCCUCAGAAGGGUGCCGCGAGCCUUGUCCAAGGACAGGAGACAAACCCACUCUUUUGAACUCCAAAUACCACCGUACCUGUGACCGGUUUUAGGGAAGACUGCGUCGCACUCCGAGUAUCGUUUUGCAAUCUAAAAC
rnacentral:lncRNA from 1 species